rnacentral:rRNA from 1 species
GGGUUGUGAGGUUAAGCGACUAAGCGUACACGGUGGAUGCCCUGGCAGUCAGAGGCGAUGAAGGACGUGCUAAUCUGCGAUAAGCGUCGGUAAGGUGAUAUGAACCGUUAUAACCGGCGAUUUCCGAAUGGGGAAACCCAGUGUGUUUCGACACACUAUCAUUAACUGAAUCCAUAGGUUAAUGAGGCGAACCGGGGGAACUGAAACAUCUAAGUACCCCGAGGAAAAGAAAUCAACCGAGAUUCCCCCAGUAGCGGCGAGCGAACGGGGAGSAGCCCAGAGCCUGAAUCAGUGUGUGUGUUAGUGGAAGCGUCUGGAAAGGCGCGCGAUACAGGGUGACAGCCCCGUACACAAAAAUGCACAURCUGUGAGCUCGAUGAGUAGGGCGGGACACGUGGUAUCCUG